UGGCUUGUGGAUCUGUGCAAGCAUUUCGAGUGCAGUAACGUCAGGCCUGAGGACUUUGUCAAGUUCGCUUCCUUCCAACUCAAAGAUCAAGCUGCAGAAUGGUUCCAGCAGUACAAGGACUCCAGAGGUGGACGUGUUAUCACUUGGGAUGAAUUUCGUCAAGAUUUCAGAGCUCACCAUAUCCCUCAGAGCAUGGUUGAAAGCAAGCGUGAGGAAUUCCGCAACCUGAAGCAAGGCUCUUUGUCUGUCUAUGACUACAACAAGUUGUUUCAGAAGCUCUCCCGCUUUGCCAAGCAGGACGUACCUGAUGAGAAGAGCAUGAUAUACCAGUUCAGGGGUGGUCUCAGAGAAGAAAUUCAGCUAGCUCUUGUUCUCUUUGAGCCCUUGAGGUUUGAUGAGUUCUACAAC
rnacentral:rRNA from 1 species